rnacentral:misc_RNA from 1 species
CAACUCUUACUUAGUUCUUAAAACUUCUAUAAAUAUUUAUCUAUAGAUCGUUACACCAAAGUUGGUAGUAUGGCGAGAUGAAGAACUCGCAGACGGGGAGUAAAACGUGACUGAUUGUAGCAGUGGACGCAAAUUAAGUUGCGGAUUGAUAACCGUUAUUUAAGACAAUUAUAUAAUCUUCAUGAAUUAGAAGAUGCCGUGUUCGAACAAGACAGAACGUCAACUGAAACGCCAAGCUAAGAAUAACCACUUGAGCUGAGAAACAGUGGAGACUGUGACCAUCAGGAGUUGCAAAAUUACAAUCGCCGUUAGAGUGUUGAGUCGUGUGUCAUUGAGAAAAGUUUAAGUAAAUAUAUAAGCGACCUUUAAUUUCGAAGUUGAGAAGAAACCAAUGCAAUAAAAGAGUGAUGCAGAUAACGUUUUCAUACUUAGAAAAUAACAAUUUGAGAAGUAUAUUUAACUUUCACUUCAUUUGUAGGGUAAUUGUUUUGCUCGAAAAUGAAAAAAAACCGACUUCAAUUACAUCAACCAAAACAACUUAGUACUGAUGGGGCUGUGUUACAAGUUACCAACGGGGUCGCAGGUGGUGGAUAGCGAAUGACCACCAGGUAUGGUGGUUACUUCUCACUUCUUAAGUAACAUCUUGCUUCGUAAGUAAAUACUUCUUACGUGCGUACAUAAAUACACACACACUUUUUUGUAGUCAGAGUUAUCAAAAUACAGUCAUCAGUUACUAAAAGCAAAAAGCAGUGAUGCAGGUGAUGUUUAAACAUUCGUCGAAGACAAUCACUCAGAAAGUCAGAUAGAUCAAGGAAACCUGAUUCAACAUAAAGACUGUCCAACUCAUUUUUCAUUAUAUUUUGUGCUGAAUUUGACUUAAGAUUGCUUGAAAUGUUGGACAAAAAAACACUACAAGCGAGUGAUGCAGAUAAUUUUUAGAUAAAAGCAAUUUCAGAAGUGAGGUUGAACAACUGCCUGUGACC